GACGAACGCUGGCGGCGUGCCUAAUACAUGCAAGUAGAACGCUGAAGAGAGGAGCUUGCUCUUCUUGGAUGAGUUGCGAACGGGUGAGUAACGCGUAGGUAACCUGCCUUGUAGCGGGGGAUAACUAUUGGAAACGAUAGCUAAUACCGCAUAACAAUGGAUGACACAUGUCAUUUAUUUGAAAGGGGCAAUUGCUCCACUACAAGAUGGACCUGCGUUGUAUUAGCUAGUAGGUGAGGUAAUGGCUCACCUAGGCGACGAUACAUAGCCGACCUGAGAGGGUGAUCGGCAACACUGGGACUGAGACACGGCCCAGACUCCUACGGGAGGCAGCAGGAGGGAAUCUUCGGCAAUAGGGGCAACCCUGACCGAGCAACGCCGCGUGAGUGAAGAAGGUUUUCGGAUCGUAAAGCUCUGUUGUAAGUCAAGAACGGGUGUGAGAGUGGAAAGUUCACACUGUGACGGUAGCUUACCAGAAAGGGACGGCUAACUACGUG
rnacentral:rRNA from 1 species